rnacentral:rRNA from 1 species
GACGAACGCUGGCGGCGUGCUUAACACAUGCAAGUCGAACGAAGUGGCGAACGGGUGAGUAACGCGUAAUCAACCUGCCCUUCAGAGGGGGACAACAGUUGGAAACGACUGCUAAUACCGCAUACUGAAGGAGGGGAUUGCGUCGGGUUAGCUAGUUGGAGGGGUAACGGCCCACCAAGGCGAUGAUCAGUAGCCGGUUCGGGGAGAUGGACGGCCACAAUGGGAAUGGGGAACGGGCCAGACUCCUACGGGAGGGAGGAGUGGGGAAUCUUCCGCAAUGGAGGAAAGGCGGACGGAGCAACGCCGGGUGAGUGAUGGCGGCCUUCGGGUUGGAAAGCUCUGUUAAUCGGGACGCGGUACCGGAAUAGAAAGCAACGGCUAACUACGUGCCAGCAGCCGCGGUAAUAC